AAUUAGCGGGGAAACAAAACCCUGUUGAGCUUGACUCUAGUCUGGCAUUGUAAAGAGACAUGAGAGGUGUAGCAUAAGUGGGAGAUGGUAACAUCGCCGGUGAAAUACCACUACUUUCAUCGUUUCUUUACUUACUCGGUUGGGCGGAGUGCGUGCGCCGGUGUUUCGACCCGGUUGUCACGGUGUUCUAGAGCCAAACGUGUAAGACUGGUAUGAGGUCUUCGCGGCCGAUCGCUAAAAAUACUCCUGCGUGAUCCAAUUCGAGGAUACUGCCAGACGGGGAGUUUGACUGGGGCGGUACAUCUGUCAAAGAAUAACGCAGGUGACCUAAGGCCAGCUCAGCGAGGACAGAAACCUCGCGUAGAGCAAAAGGGCAAAAGCUGGCUUGAUCUCGUUGUUCAGUACGCAUAGAGAUUGCGAAAGCACGGUCUAUCGAUUCUUUUGGCUUGAAGAGUUUUCAGCAAGAAGUGUCAGAAAAGUUAUCACAGGGAUAACUGGCUUGUGGCAGCCAAGCAUUCAUAGCGACGUCGCUUUUUGAUCCUUCGUUGUCGAUUCUUCCUAUCAUUGCGAAGCAGAAUUCGUCAAACGUCGGAUUUUUCACCCGUCAACAGGGAAUGUGAGCUGGAUUUAAACCGUCGUGAGACAGGUUAGUUUUACCCUACUGAUG
rfam:Apis mellifera strain DH4 unplaced genomic scaffold GroupTn98, whole genome shotgun sequence.